rnacentral:rRNA from 1 species
CACAUGCAAGUCGAACGGGGUGCUUAGGCAUCUAGUGGCGGACGGGUGAGUAACGCGUGAGAAUCUGGCUCCAGGUCGGGGAUAACAGUUGGAAACGACUGCUAAUACCGGAUGUGCCGAGAGGUGAAAGAUUUAUUGCCUGGAGAUGAGCUCGCGUCUGAUUAGCUAGUUGGUGGUGUAAGGGACCACCAAGGCGUCGAUCAGUAGCUGGUCUGAGAGGAUGAUCAGCCACACUGGGACUGAGACACGGCCCAGACUCCUACGGGAGGCAGCAGUGGGGAAUUUUCCGCAAUGGGCGAAAGCCUGACGGAGCAAUACCGCGUGAGGGAGGAAGGCUCUUGGGUCGUAAACCUCUUUUCUCAAGGAAGAAGAAAGUGACGGUACUUGAGGAAUAAGCAUCGGCUAACUCCGUGCCAGCAGCCGCGGUAAUACGGAGGAUGCAAGCGUUAUCCGGAAUGAUUGGGCGUAAAGGGUCUGCAGGUGGAACUGAAAGUCUGCUGUUAAAGAGUUUGGCUUAACCAAAUAAAAGCGGUGGAAACUACAGAACUAGAGUGCGGUAGGGGCAAAAGGAAUUCCUGGUGUAGCGGUGAAAUGCGUAGAUAUCAGGAAGAACACCGGUGGCGAAAGCGUUUUGCUAGACCGUAACUGACACUGAGGGACGAAAGCUAGGGGAGCGAAUGGGAUUAGAUACCCCAGUAGUCCUAGCCGUAAACGAUGGAUACUAGGCGUGGCUUGUAUCGACCCGAGCCGUGCCGGAGCUAACGCGUUAAGUAUCCCGCCUGGGGAGUACGCACGCAAGUGUGAAACUCAAAGGAAUUGACGGGGGCCCGCACAAGCGGUGGAGUAUGUGGUUUAAUUCGAUGCAACGCGAAGAACCUUACCAAGACUUGACAUCCUGCGAAUCCUGGUGAAAGCUAGGAGUGCCUUAGGGAGCGCAGAGACAGGUGGUGCAUGGCUGUCGUCAGCUCGUGUCGUGAGAUGUUGGGUUAAGUCCCGCAACGAGCGCAACCCUCGUUUUUAGUUGCCAGCAUUAAGUUGGGCACUCUAGAGAGACUGCCGGUGACAAACCGGAGGAAGGUGAGGAUGACGUCAAGUCAGCAUGCCCCUUACGUCUUGGGCUACACACGUACUACAAUGCUACGGACAGAGGGCAGCGAGCCAGGGAUGGCAAGCGAAUCCAGAAACCGUAGCUCAGUUCAGAUCGAAGGCUGCAACUCGCCUUCGUGAAGGAGGAAUCGCUAGUAAUUGCAGGUCAGCAUACUGCAGUGAAUUCGUUCCCGGGCCUUGUACACACCGCCCGUCACACCAUGGAAGUUGGUCACGCCCGAAGUCAUUACCCCAACCGAAAGGAGGGGGAUGCCUAAGGUAGGACUG